ACAGCAGUAGCCGCGGGAAUACAGAGGGUGCGAGCGUUAAUCGGAUUUACUGGGCGUAAAGCGUGCGUAGGCGGCUAAUUGAGUCGGAUGUGAAAUCCCCGAGCUUAACUUGGGAAUUGCAUUCGAUACUGGUUAGCUAGAGUGUGGGAGAGGAUGGUAGAAUUCCAGGUGUAGCGGUGAAAUGCGUAGAGAUCUGGAGGAAUACCGAUGGCGAAGGCAGCCAUCUGGCCUAACACUGACGCUGAGGUACGAAAGCAUGGGGAGCAAACAGGAUUAGAUACCCCCGUAGUCCCUGUCUCUUAUAC
rnacentral:rRNA from 1 species